rnacentral:rRNA from 1 species
AGUGGCGGACGGGUGAGUAACGCGUGAGGAACCUGCCCUUCAGGUGGGGAAUAAACAGCCGGAAACGACUGCUGAUACCGCAUAACGUCGGAGUGCCGCAUGACAUUUCGACCAAAGGAUUUAUUCGCUGAAGGAUGGCCUCGCGUCCGAUUAGGCAGUUGGUGAGGUAACGGCCCACCAAACCUACGAUCGGUAGCCGAACUGAGAGGUUGAUCGGCCACAUUGGGACUGAGACACGGCCCAGACUCCUACGGGAGGCAGCAGUGGGGAAUAUUGGGCAAUGGGCGAAAGCCUCGACCCAGCAACGCCGCGUGAAGGAUGGCGGUCUUCGGAUUGUAAACUUCUUUGAUUGGGGAAGAACAAAAUGACCUACCCAAAGAACAAGUCACGGCUAACUACGUGCCAGCAGCCGC